CACAUGCAGAAAGUGUUCCUGCUUCAGGGCUUGUGCCCUCCUGCUGUCCCCAGACGCCAAGUGAAGAAGCUCCAGCUGGCCUGCUGGGGCCACAUGGCCCAGCCGUGGGUGAGGCUGCCUUGGACCCUCCAGUCCCAGCCACUACGUGACGUGACGGCAGGUGUGUGAGUGACUCUGGUGACAGCAGCAGAAGAGCCAGCCAGCUGAGCCCAAAUUGCUGACGCCUAGAGCUGUGAAUAAAUAUAGUGGUGGUGCUUUAAAACCACCAUGAUCUGUGGCGGCUCAUUACUCAGCAAUAGAUAACUGAGCCAUCAACCUUUUAAAAAUGCCUCACUCAGUGAGCUGCGCUGGAGAACUGGCCCAGGAGUGAACGGAGACCGGGGUUUCCUUCUUGUCUCUGCACCCGAUUCUCUGAGGCUCUGUCUCCUUCUCUGUAAAGUGGGGAUGGAUGGUGGUCGUCUGUCUUGCGUGAGGAUUAAGUGACACUCUGGGCGUGAGAAUGCACCAUGGCCUGGCGUUCGUGGCUACCUGGAGUUAGCUGAAAGUCUGAGGACACAGUCCCCAAGACCGCCUCACUUCUGACACCAAAUUCAAGUUCUGGGAGGUCCCUGAGGCCACUCUCAGGUGUGAUACUUUGCUGGAAGGACCCACAAAGCUCCCUGAAAGCUGUUACACUCAUGGAUAUGGUUUAUUACAGGGAAAGGAUGUAGAUUAAAACCAGCAAAGGAAGCAGUUCAGAGGGCAGGGUCUGGGAGUUCCCAGUGCAAAGCUCCUGUCGUCCUCAGGGUGCACGGCCCUGGCAGCAUCAGCGUGUGGCAGCACUUAGGACGCACUGCCAUCAGGGAAGCUCCCCGGGCUUCGACGUGCAGUCUUUACUGGGGCUUCGCUGCGUGGGCAGACUGAUUGACCAACUGCCCACAUGGUUACUGGUUGAAUGAUGCCACUUGACCCAAAGCCCCAUCCUAAAUCAUUUAGGGUGGUCUUUCUGGCAUAGCCAGCCCUCACCGGAAACAAAGACACACCUGUCAGGUGCAACAUAGACGGCCUCCCUGGAGCCGAGGGCACGGGCCAGACCUCAACCUGGGCCAGGCCGACUUCCUUACAGCUGUGGAGGGCGACGCUGCCUCUGCCUUCCCGGCUUGGGGCCCCGGGAGAGCCACUUCCCCCUCCGGACUUCAGCGUCCCCGUCUGUAAAGUGAGGAUGUUAACGCUUCCCUCCUGGGCUGCGAGGAUCGAGCGUGUGGCCAGAGUCUGCUUCCUGAGCAAUGGCGGGACCUGGGCCUCAGUAGCUCCAUCUAUGGAACGCGACUAAAGUCCAGCAUGAGCCCCAGUUGUCCCAGGACGGGCAGGAAGACCCACCGCAGCUCUGGCCGACGAGGACGUCGACGCAGAGAAGUGACUUAAUCCAGACCUGCGCCUCCCGCGGCCGGGUCAAGGGUCCCAGGCGGGCGCGGAGACCAGCCGGGCCCUGCAGGCCGGACCCCACGGUAAACGUGCAAUAAACGUGCAAAGGUCGAGUCAACGA